rnacentral:rRNA from 1 species
GACGAACGCUGGCGGCGUGCUUAACACAUGCAAGUCGAACGGAAAGGCCCUGCUUUUGUGGGGUGCUCGAGUGGCGAACGGGUGAGUAACACGUGAGUAACCUGCCCUUGACUUUGGGAUAACUUCAGGAAACUGGGGCUAAUACCGGAUAGGAGCUCCUGCUGCAUGGUGGGGGUUGGAAAGUUUCGGCGGUUGGGGAUGGACUCGCGGCUUAUCAGCUUGUUGGUGGGGUAGUGGCUUACCAAGGCUUUGACGGGUAGCCGGCCUGAGAGAGUGACCGGCCACAUUGGGACUGAGAUAAGGCCCAGACUCCUACGGGAGGCAGCAGUGGGGAAUAUUGAACAAUGGGCGGAAGCCUGAUGCAGCAACUCCGCGUGCGGGAUGACGGCCUUCGGGUUGUAAACCGCUUUCGCCUGUGACGAAGAGUGAGUGACGGUAAUGGGUAAAGAAGCACCGGAUAACUACGUG